rnacentral:rRNA from 1 species
AUAGCGUAUAUUAAAGUUGUUGCAGUUAAAAAGCUCGUAGUUGGAUUUCUGGCAGGAUGACUUUGCCCUCUGUAGAGUGCGCAAUGCUGUCCUACCAUCCUUCUGUUAACCCUUUCGACCUUAAAAAGUUGGCUGGGGGCUCAGAUAUUUUACCUUGAGAAAAUUAGAGUGUUUCAGGCAGGCUAGCGCCGGAAUACAUUAGCAUGGAAUAAUAGAAUAGGACUUUUGCCUCUUCUGUUGGUCUGAGGGGUGUAAGUAAUGAUUAAUAGGGAUAGUCGGGGGCAUCAGUAUUCAAUUGUCAGAGGUGAAAUUCUUGGAUUUAUUGAAGACUAACUACUG